rnacentral:tmRNA from 1 species
GGUCUUUUUUCGGCAACCAUUUGCGCUUAUAUUCUUAAGUGCCGGCGCAAGCCGGCUAUGGCGAUAAAUGGCCGUCGUAAUAAACCAUUCGGACCCGGGGGCAGUACCCGGCGACUCCACCAAUUCGGAGGACGGACGACAGGCAACGGACGACAGAUAAGCUGAAGAGUAAUGACACCUCUUCGUCUGUCCUCCGUCGUCCGACAACUGUCCUCCGCUUACGGGGUCGAAAUAGGAUCGACGAGGGCGUAAAGGACGCGCUUUUGCCCGGCAUGGUUCCGGCGUUAUCGGGCCAAAUUCAUAGUUGCCAACGACAACUAUGCUUCGGGUGAAGAGCUGCCGAUCGCAGCUUAAUAGCCUGAUCUAAAGCCCUAGCGUCUUAGCAGCGUUAGGCGGGGUUCGGAGGCACCUGGCAACAGAAGCCUCCACU